CAGUGCUAGAGUCUCAGGAGGGAGUGCUCUGGGGCAUCACCACCAUGGCCUGGACUCUGCUUGUCCUCACACUCCUCAGUCAGGGUACUUAUGU
rnacentral:pre_miRNA from 1 species